GCUGGCGGCAGGCUUAACACAUGCAAGUCGAGCGGGCGUAGCAAUACGUCAGCGGCAGACGGGUGAGUAACGCGUGGGAACGUACCUUUUGGUUCGGAACAACCCAGGGAAACUUGGGCUAAUACCGGAUAAGCCCUUACGGGGAAAGAUUUAUCGCCGAAAGAUCGGCCCGCGUCUGAUUAGCUAGUUGGUGAGGUAACGGCUCACCAAGGCGACGAUCAGUAGCUGGUCUGAGAGGAUGAUCAUGCCACAUUGGGACUGAGACACGGCCCAAACUCCUACGGGAGGCAGCAGUGGGGAAUAUUGGACAAUGGGCGCAAGCCUGAUCCAGCCAUGCCGCGUGAGUGAUGAAGGCCCUAGGGUUGUAAAGCUCUUUUGUGCGGGAAGAUAAUGACGGUACCGCAAGAAUAAGCCCCGGCUAACUUCGUGCCAGCAGCCGCGGUAAUACGAAGGGGGCUAGCGUUGCUCGGAAUCACUGGGCGUAAAGGGUGCGUAGGCGGGUCUUUAAGUCAGGGGUGAAAUCCUGGAGCUCAACUCCAGAACUGCCUUUGAUACUGAAGAUCUUGAGUUCGGGAGAGGUGAGUGGAACUGCGAGUGUAGAGGUGAAAUUCGUAGAUAUUCGCAAGAACACCAGUGGCGAAGGCGGCUCACUGGCCCGAUACUGACGCUGAGGCACGAAAGCGUGGGGAG
rnacentral:rRNA from 1 species